CGUGCAGGUUAGUCCAAUAGACUUCUAUGGAACUCAGCAGCGUUUAAAUUUGACGUCUUGGUUCAGCACACCGCAACUACACUGAAUAAAUAAAAAUAAAUAAUAGGCUACAAAAAAAAUUAUAUAUGACAGAGAUCGUUUUUAUCUGGCCCUCCAACUUGUUUUUAAGGGUUUAAAUAUUCUCGCAAUCUGAUAUCAAAGUGAUCUCUGUGCCAAAGCUUAGCGCGUUCAUCAGUGGUGAGUUUAACAACACUCAACUGCAGGUAAAACAGCACUCAGCGGUGAGUUUGACCAAAGCAACGCUCAACUGCAGGGAAAACGACAUAAAAGUUCAUCAUCUCUAUGAAAUCACGUUCAAGAAGUCUCAUUCAGCACACAUCGCGAUACUUGCCAUCAGUUUCCAUGUGCCACAGGGUCGCUGAAAAGAUGUAAAGGAAGCAGUCAUCCCUGUGGUGUUUGUGGAGAGGUUUUCCUUCAGAAAUGGAGAAGACAAAAAGCUGCGGAGGCAGACAUUUGCAGCAGAUUGUUUGCAGAUAAUGCUGUUCAAGCUCAACAGCUCUUUUAAGAGCCAACCCUCACAAACCUUCCUAAAAUCUAAAAGAGCUGUUACUGAGUCUCAGCGAAUCUUGCCAUGAUCAGCUCUUCCCAGGUACAUUUGUUUAAAAUAUUUUUGAAUCAACAUUUACUCAUCAAAUGCUCUGGUCUGAAUCUUAUUUUAAAUUAACUUAAUUAUAUGUUUAAUGAGCAAUGUUAAUUGCACACAGAGUAAGAUUAUCUUGUUUUUCAGAAGAGAAGGAAGACCAAGGAAAUGAUUUGCUCAGGAUGAGGAAUGAAGACGGCCAUCUUGAGCCCAAACAAAGA